AUCGACUCUCCACGAUAUCUUUCACUUUUAUUUAUAUUUUAUAUACCACCAUCUUUUAGGAUUAAUAUAAAUAUUCUUUCCUUAAUAGAAACUUCUCAUAAGUUAGGUAAAGGUGUAGACUAUAUAAAAGAUAAGAUGGGUUACAUUAAGAAAUACUAAAGGAUAAUCAUUCAAAUAUUUUUGGAAAAAGGAUUUAUUAGUAUAUUAAAAGAUUAAUUAUAAAUGAAAUUGACAAUAUGUGCNCAUAUCGCCCGUCNCUCUCAC
rnacentral:rRNA from 1 species